AUACGGAGGGUGCAAGCGUUAAUCGGAAUUACUGGGCGUAAAGCGUACGUAGGCGGUUCGUUAAGUUAGAUGUGAAAGCCCCGGGCUUAACCUGGGAACUGCAUUUAAAACUGGCGAACGAGAGUUGAGUAGAGGGGAGUGGAAUUUCAGGUGUAGCGGUGAAAUGCGUAGAGAUCUGAAGGAACACCAGUGGCGAAGGCGGCUCCCUGGACUCAAACUGACGCUGAGGUACGAAAGCGUGGGUAGCAAACGGGAUUAGAUACCCCAGUAGUCC
rnacentral:rRNA from 1 species